UACGUAGGUGGCAAGCGUUAUCCGGAUUUACUGGGUGUAAAGGGAGCGUAGACGGCUGUGCAAGUCUGGUGUAAAAGGCAGUGGCUCAACCAUUGUAUGCAUUGGAAACUGGUAGACUUGAGUGCAGGAGAGGAGAGUGGAAUUCCAUGUGUAGCGGUGAAAUGCGUAGAUAUAUGGAGGAACACCGGUGGCGAAAGCGGCUCUCUGGCCUGUAACUGACACUGAGGCUCGAAAGCGUGGGGAGCAAACAGG
rnacentral:rRNA from 1 species